ensembl:lncRNA
UGUCAACGUCGAGUCUUCCCAAUCUGAUCAUUCAAGAGGAAAUGGCCUCCCGGAAUCCUAAAGCAGCUGAUUGGUCGGUCCCAUCCCUGAUUGGAGCUCUGACCCCUCCCUCUUGUCAGGGGAAACAGCUGUCUCUUCAAUUACCAACUCCUUCUCCAGCUUGAUAAAAGCCAGUGUUCCUUUGUCAGAGAGGAGAACUUUUUUAUUUUUUAAAUAUUUUUUUAAAUGACAUUUUUUAAUGUCCUGUGUUGGUUAGUGACAGUUUGGUUGAUAUUAUUAUGUAGCCACUCCUUCAGAGGGGGGGACGCACCUUGGGAGUGUUUAGAGUUCCUAGUUGUCUUGGAAAGCACCACGUAUCCAGAGAAUGACAGACUUUGAUG